AGAAUCAACGCUGGCGGCGUGCCUAACACAUGCAAGUCGCACGAGAAAGGGUAGCAAUACCUGAGUAAAGUGGCGCACGGGUGAGUAACACGUGAAUUAUCUACCUCCGAGUGGGGAAUAACUGAGAGAAAUCUUAGCUAAUACCGCAUAACACUUACGAGUCAAAGCAGCAAUGCGCUUGGAGAGGAGUUCGCGGCCGUAUUAGUUAGUUGGCGGGGUAAUCGGCCCACCAAGACGAUGAUCGGUA
rnacentral:rRNA from 1 species